GGAGUCUGGACCGUGUCUCAGUUCCAAUGUGGGGGACCUUCCUCUCAGAACCCCUAACCAUCGUCGGCACGGUGGGCCGUUACCCCGCCGUCUACCUAAUGGUACGCGAGCCAAUCCGUAUGCAAUAAAUCUUUCAAUAUAAAACCAUGCGGUUCCAUAUAUUACGGGGUAUUACGCGACGUUUCCAUCGGUUAUCCCCCGGUCACGGGCAUGUCGCUCACGCGUUACGCACCCUUGCGCCGGUCGCCGCCAGAUGUAUUGCUACACCCGCGAUGCCCCUCGACUUGCAUGUGUUAAGCCUGCCGCUAGCGUUCAUC
rnacentral:rRNA from 1 species